UCAAGUAAAGGAAGAGCACAAGGUGAAUGCCUUGGCUGCAUAAGGCGAUGAAGGACGUAAUAACCUGCGAUAAGCCUCGGGGAGCUGGUAAAUAAGCUUCGAUCCGAGGAUUUCCGAAUGGGAAAACCCAAUAUACGUAAGUAUAUUAUCUUAUACUGAAUACAUAGGUAUAAGAGGCGAACCUGGGGAACUGAAACAUCUAAGUACCCAGAGGAAAAGAAAUCAACAGAGAUUCCGGUAGUAGCGGCGAGCGAAACCGGACCAGCCCUUAAGCUUAUUUUAGUCCAGCAAAAUAUUCUGGAAAGUUUGACCAUAGUGGGUGAUAGUCCCGUAUGCGAAAGACUAAUUUAAGUGAAAUCGAGUAGGUCGGAACACGUGAAAUUCUGACUGAAUAUGGGGGGACCAUCCUCCAAGGCUAAAUACUCUAUGCAGACCGAUAGUGAACCAGUACCGUGAGGGAAAGGCGAAAAGAACCCCGGCGAGGGGAGUGAAAUAGAACCUGAAACCUUGUGCUUACAAGCAGUCGGAGCAGACUUGUUCUGUGACGGCGUACCUUUUGUAUAAUGGGUCAACGACUUAAUUUCAGUAGCAAGCUUAACCAUAUAGGGUAGGCGUAGGGAAACCGAGUCUUAAUAGGGCGCUCAGUUGCUGGAAUUAGACCCGAAACCGGGUGAUCUAUCCAUGGCCAGUGUGAAGGUCGAGUAACAUCGACUGGAGGCGCGAACCCACUUAUGUUGAAAAAUGAGGGGAUGAGCUGUGGAUAGGAGUGAAAGGCUAAUCAAACCCGGAGAUAGCUGGUUCUCUUCGAAAACUAUUUAGGUAGUGCCUCGUGUAUUACUGUAGGGGGUAGAGCACUGUUUCGGCUAGGGGGUCAUCCCGACUUACCAAACCGAUGCAAACUCCGAAUACCUACAAGUAUGAGCACGGGAGACAGACUGCGGGUGCUAACGUCCGUAGUCGAGAGGGAAACAACCCAGACUGUCAGCUAAGGUCCCUAAUUAUGAUUAAGUGGGAAACAAUGUGGGAAGGCACAAACAGCUAGGAAGUUGGCUUAGAAGCAGCCAUCUUUUAAAGAAAGCGUAAUAGCUCACUAGUCGAGUCGGCCUGCGUGGAAGAUAUAACGGGGCUAAAUCAUAAACCGAAGCUACAGAUCUUAAAUUUAUUUAAGAUGGUAGAAGAGCGUUCUGUAAGCGGAUGAAGGUGAGCUGAGAGGCGAGCUGGACGUAUCAGAAGUGCGAAUGUUGACAUGAGUAACGAUCAAAGAGGUGAAAAACCUCUUCGCCGAAAAACCAAGGGUUCCUGUCCAACGCUAAUCGUGGCAGGGUGAGGCGGCCCCUAAGGCGAGGGCGAAAGCCGUAGUCGAUGGGAAACAGGUUAAUAUUCCUGUACUUUUUAUAACUGCGAUGGGGUGACGGAGAAGGUUAGGCUAGCACGGCGACGGUUGUCCGUGUUCAAGGUUGUAGGCUGGUGUUCUAGGUAAAUCCGGAACGCCAUAUAGGCUGAGGACUGAUAACGACCACUCUACGAGUGGGAAGUAGCUGAUACCAUGCUUCCAGGAAAAACCUCUAAGCUUCAGGUUAUAAGAAACCGUACCCUAAACCGACACAGGUGGUUAGGUCGAGUAGACCAAGGUGUUUGAGAGAACUAUGGUGAAGGAACUAGGCAAAAUAGCACCGUAACUUCGGGAGAAGGUGCGCUACGUUUGGUGAUGGGACUUGCUCCUUGAGCUAAACGUAGUCGAAGAUACCAGGUGGCUGCGACUGUUUACUAAAAACAUAGCACUCUGCAAACUCGUAAGAGGAAGUAUAGGGUGUGACGCCUGCCCGGUGCCGGAAGGUUAAUUGAUGGGGUUAGCUUCGGCGAAGCUCUUGAUCGAAGCCCCGGUAAACGGCGGCCGUAACUAUAACGGUCCUAAGGUAGCGAAAUUCCUUGUCGGGUAAGUUCCGACCUGCACGAAUGGCGUAACGA
rnacentral:rRNA from 1 species